ensembl:lncRNA
GUGGGUCGGAUCGGCCCAAUGGCAGGGAGGGAGAGUCGGGCGGUGGGGAGGGCCUUCGGGGCAGAGUCCGGCCGGUGGUGGCGCCCUUCGCCCCGCCCAUAAUGGUGGCCGCCUCCGUGGCUGGUUAGGUAGUUUUGUUGUGUUCUGUGGCCGCUGAGGAAACAUAGGCUGAGGCUGGCGGUGUCACGGUGCCUUUUUCUUCGUUCCCUUCCAGCAUGCCCCUUGUGCCAUGUUUCAGUGUGUAGGGCACCGACUCGUAAUGGUGUCUGGUUCUAUGAAGUGUUGAUGCCUCACCUCUGCAAAUAGAAUUGGCCUAUUUCCACGUUACUCUGGACUGUGACUCCUGAGAAAACAAUGCUGAUGACAGAGCUCAUCCGUUAUGGAGAGCUUCAGGAAAUCUGCUGGUAUGCUUACGUUGAUAGACUUUUCUGUGAAGUGUUCCAUAUGUUUUCAGCAUUCCAGUGACUUCAGACAGUGUAAGCAUGUUCAAGCACACCUGGAGGGGGGGCCGGGUUGGCCUUGGCUCCACUGGAAACACAGUGUCAUUGUCUCAACAAGAUGCUAUGAUGCCAGCAAAAGAUCAGUACCUUGACGAGGAGCUGCUGGCUCAAAACCACGGUAAUAUUUGAUUGUUGGAACACUUUCCAAAGCAGUUCCCAUGGUGUGAAAUUCUAGCAACCUGAUUUGUCUCUCUGCUGAGCAAUUGAGUUGAUUCAUCUGUAACAACGUCUGCCAGCCUCAGAUAACAAGAAAAAUUGCACCGUCUA